GUUCCCAAUGAUGUUACAAUAUACCAUGCUAAUGCUGAUAAUUCAUGAUUAUUACUUUCAUUCUACUGAGGGAACU